GAGGUCGGAAAGAGGAUGGAACCCGCAGAGGGAAAAGGAGGCCUUUUUCUUUUCACAAAGCGCCGGCAGGGGAAAGAGCGCCGCGGGUCUCCCUAGUCGUGGAGGACGCCGCGGGAACGUCAGAACCGGGCUUCUAAACAAGCAGCUCGGCCGGUGCAGCAGGAAGCUUUGCGAGGAAAGCUGGGUUUGUGGGCCAGGACCGACCGACGCCGGCACUGCGUGGGCGGUGGGGAGAGAAGGAGGCUUGGCACCCGAAGUUGACGGGGCCUUGGCGUGGAAACGCCGGCGCGAACCUCAACAGCUGGCGCCCCCACCUGGAAAGUCCCUUCCCCUCCCUUCCCAGAUCGUAGCCCGUGUCUCUCCCAACGACAAAAAUUGCGGCAGGCCAGCUUUUUCCUCUCGGCAACGGGGGAGGUUGGGGCUUCGUUAGGUCUCCAGGACUGGCUGGAGAAAUCCGGAGGAGCACCAGGUGGCACCCCAGAGUUAGGGUUUGAUGCUGUCACUGGCUUCUGGGCAGCACCUGGCCGACCUCGCUAAGCAAGGUCGGAGGAGGACCUAUUUAUCUGUGGAUGGGAGACCACGAGAAAAUCCCAGGGUGCUGGAGAACUAGAAGAAUAAUGACACAUCACUUCUUGUUGCUAAGAAAACUACAUUGAUUUCUUCAUCCGGAGUUGAACUUAACUGGAGGAAUAUUCUAUCUUACCUGUGUUUGGUGGUGGUGGUUGUUGUUAUUAUUAUUAUUAUUAUUUCCACAUUCUGCAAGGCCUACCAUGAAGAACUCACUGAAUCCUGAAAGCUUCCAGUAUGUCACUGGUUGGCUAGAGGAACAAAACAGGCUAAGCCACUAAGUAGUUUGUUUGGGCUUGGCAUGUUGUAUGAAAGCAGCCAUGGGGACUUUCUAAGGAAGUGUAGAAGAUGGAGCUGCAUAAUCGUCUGAACGGGAAGAUGGUAAACCUGGCCAGCCCUCGCCCAGGACACAGAGUAGCCUUACAAAGAGGCAACAUUUGUGGCUAGACCUGCCUUCAGGAAAAGCAUUUAGAAGAAGACAGCAAAGGCGAGUUGGACAUCGCGAGCUCUCCACGGGCCUCCUUGUUCACCAGGUGAGCUCGUCCACAACUCUCCCCAGGCCCACGAUCACCAAAAGAGGCAAGCCAGAGGGGCGACGAGCCGAGGCAUCUGACCCUGCCAGCCAGAAAAUGGAGAGAACAACAGAUUUUUUCCGAACACAUAGUGGGAAUCAGUACAUGCAUCCCUAGAAGGGGAAACAUCUGAGAAACUCUCUAGUCUCCCUGCAAACCUGGCAUGUGCUCAGUUUGAGAAAGGAAGAAAGAAAGAUUUUAUUUUGUGUUUAAUACCAUUCACAUGUUCAUUUUUUGAGAUCGGGAGCAGAUUCCCGCCUGUUGUAUAGUCAAUGUCGCAUCAGGAUUGAAAAAGUCUGCCCUGUAUUUCAGUAAAAUUCGACUUCUGCUCUUAUGUGCGUCUUUUUUAAAAAAACAGGGUGUUAUUAAGAGAAAGUGCCUCCCCACUUCUGGUCUCUGUUUUUAUUGCCUGAUUCGGAGCAUGUUUUGCUCGGAAACAAAUUCCACUAAUCCCAAUGGGGCCACGUCUGGAAUAGCUGCGGCUACUCUACAGCCCCAAAUCAUUUGCUCCCGGAUUUUGGGGAUGCAUUGCGAUAGAAUUUCCACAGGUAUCUCGAAAUACAGUGGAAAUUACUGCGGGUUAUGCACGCCUAAAUCUGAACUGGAUUGUGACCACCACAAGUGUGCAUAGGAUCGGGCGCAUCCGCUUCUGAGAUCCAGGCAACGGCCACGAAUAGGUGCUGAAGGAGAGAAAGAGGGAGAAAAUUUGAAACGCCAAAGCAGGCGGCUUCUUUGCACAAAGUAACUCAACCUCGGGUCUGAAAGUCCAUAAUUUUAUUUUACUCUAUCUAGCAGAAUUUUGUAACAGAUAUUAAUGGGCGCAUAAAUAGUGCCAAGGACGUAUUGAACAAAGCUACUAAGUACAAAGAGGUUGUUCCGGAAGAAAAUUAUAAAUAAAUAGAAAGAAAGAAACCCAUUAUUGUAGUUCGAGUUGAUUCAUACCU